rnacentral:lncRNA from 1 species
UUCCUUCAUCCAUUCCAUCUUCUUUGUCUCUCCAUUUCCUUUCCAUUUUUCUAUACACCAAUUCCUUCAUCCAUUCCAUCUUCUUUGUCUCUCCAUUUCCUUUCCAUUUUUCUCUCCAUUCUCUAGUUUUAAGUUUCUGCAUUUUUAAGCAAAGAGAAGAAGAGAAGAAGAAGCCAUGAAGUCUCCUAGCCGUCAUCAUCCACCUUGUGCCGUGAUAGUGAAGUCUUGCUUUAAAGAUUCAAGAUCAACGUCUCAAGCUCUUCAUCAUCCACUCCCUUCAUGGUAUUUGUAG